rnacentral:rRNA from 1 species
GACGAACGCUGGCGGCGCGCCUAACACAUGCAAGUCGAACGAGCGAGAGAGAGCUUGCUUUCUUGAGCGAGUGGCGAACGGGUGAGUAACGCGUGAGGAACCUGCCUCAAAGAGGGGGACAACAGUUGGAAACGACUGCUAAUACCGCAUAAGCCCACGGUGCCGCAUGGCACCGAGGGAAAAGGAGCAAUCCGCUUUGAGAUGGCCUCGCGUCCGAUUAGCUAGUUGGUGAGGUAACGGCCCACCAAGGCGACGAUCGGUAGCCGGACUGAGAGGUUGAACGGCCACACUGGGGCUGAGACACGGCCCAGACUCCUACGGGAGGCAGCAGUGGGGAAUAUUGCACAAUGGGGGAAACCCUGAUGCAGCGACGCCGCGUGGAGGAAGAAGGUCUUCGGAUUGUAAACUCCUGUUGUUGGGGAAGAUAAUGACGGUACCCAACAAGGAAGUGACGGCUAACUACGUG